UCGAUUAUUCCCUCAAGCAGGAGUAAUAUAAUGGCCAGCACAAUUUGUAACAAUGGUAGGCCAGUAAUUACAGUACUUAAAAUGGCCUGUGAAAAUCAAACUAAAUACAUACAUACAUAUGUUCAAACCCACUAGCUUAAACCCAUAUAUUCAAAUGUUCCAACCCUUGUUCCUCACACAGCAAAGCAUGGAUUCAUCGUGUCAACCUCUUUAUCUUCCUUGCGUGUCAUCCUUCAUCGUGUAAGCACCAUCAUGAUGAGUUUUUCUGUGCAAUAGUAGAUAAUGCAUCCAAUUAGCUAUAACUGCUUGCUUCCUAAGCCAAAGCAAAACAAACUAUUAUACACAAACAAGGUAUAAAUUGCUGAUUAAUGUCACUGUUCCGAUAACAAAACCAAUACACACAUAACAUAGUAAACACAUAAGCAGUCAGAAUAUAACAUAAUAUUGGAGAAAAGCAAAAUGUGACAAACAUGGUCUUUAAAGAGUGAUCAUCUUGAUUAGAAUUAAGUACUAUCUCCAUUCCUAAAUAUAAGACGGUCUUAUAUUUAGGAAUUAAACUGCCCAAACGCCUUAUAUUUAGGAAUGGAGGUAGUAGAUAAUUCCGACUGGACAAAAGCCCGACUAUGUGAAUACUAGAAACAAACAGCAGCAAGACAAGCAACCCAACAUUUUAGUGAAAUGACGAUAUAUUCCGAGAGAAAGGAUGUGCAGAAGUAAUACCCUCUCAAAUGUGGAAAUGUGGAAGUUUAUGGUGCAAUACAGAAUCUCCUUUUAUCCAGAGCUUCACAAGUUCCCU
rnacentral:lncRNA from 1 species